rnacentral:lncRNA from 1 species
CUCGUCUCCAUGGUUACAGCAGAGGGCGAGCAGGUGGAACAGGUCAGUCCUGAUUCUUCAGCAGCCGACAGACUGAAGGUGUGGCCGAAGAAACCAGAACACCUGCACUCUCACCUCCACCUGCCGCCCAACACAAGGCAGACUUACACACAGACCAGCUGACAUGGAUAAAAUUGCAGGAUACAUUGGUGAAAAAAUAGGUGAUGCUGUGGAGGAUGCAGUGAAGAGCGCUCUGGGCGUUGGUGACAAAGACAAAGACAAAGAUGACAAGAAAGGAGGAGGAGGAGGGAUCCUGUCAUUAUUUGGAGGAAACAAGAGGGAUGAUGACGACGACGACAAGGAAGGACCCUUCUCAUUUGGAAAUGACAAGAAAAAAGACAAAGACAGCGGAGGAUUCUUUUCCAGCCUGUUGAAGAAAGAUGACGACGACGAUGAUGAUGAAGGGAAACCAAAGAAGUCCGGCUUCGCAGGUCUCUUCUCUGAACAGGAAGGAGGGAGCGCUGUUGGAGGGGGUGGGCCCCAGAGAGACGAUAGUGGAGCAGGGGGUGGGAAAGCAGUUGGAGUUAACGACGGAGAUCUGCUUGAUGAUCUGAUGGCAGUAGCUGAUGAAACCUCCUCUGACAAGUGAUACAACACAAACAAGGACCUUCACCUCUGACAGAAACUGACUCUGCUACAACUCCCCUCAGCUCCACCUUUCAUCUGAUGUCUGUUUUCCAACAAACCAGACCAGCCUGUCUUUUCUUUUUUCCAUGUUCAUAGAUUCAGUGUUUGAUCUUAUAAAUGCCUGUUGCCAAAGCUCCACAAAUACAGUUGUGCUCAUGAGUUUACAUACCCUGACUGAAUGUGCAUGGGACGGUCUGGAAUGUUCCAACAUGACAAUGACCCAAAACACAAGGCCAAGUCCACCUGUCAUUGGCCACAGCAGAAAAAAAGGGAAGGUGAAGGAGUGGCCAUCUCAGUCUCCUGACCUCCAUAUCAUUGAGCCAUUUUGAGAAGGUGCCAAACAUGCAGUUCAUGCAAGAAAACCCAAAAUCUGAAAAGAACUGAAGGAGUUUUGCCAAGAAGAAUGGGCAGCUUUAGCAUCUGAGAAAAUAAAGAGCCUCGUCCACAACGACAACAAAAGACCUCAAGCUGUCAUAAAUGUUAAAGGGGCCGAUACAGAGUAGGAAGAACUUUUGGGCAAGGUCAUUUAGAUAGUUUCUUUUGUUAGUAUGUUUUAAAAAGAGCAAACACAUUUGUUCGAUGAUGAACAGCUUCAUCCAACCACUAGCCACGUGUCAAAGAAAAGUUUUUUUUAUUAUGAUUCAUAUUCUCUGAAAAAUGGCCAAAGAAUCACAAAUUCUGCUAGGGUAAGGGGUAGGGUAGGGUAAACUUAGGAGCACAACUGUAGAUGUAAAAUGAAAAACUGAGAAAACACAUUAAAAUACUGUUCAAUAAAAAAAAUAAAUAAACCAGAAUAUUAUUUGCAGAUGAUGGCAUGUAUUAUUGAAACGACACACACAUUUUGCUUUUAAAAUAUCAGUCUUAGUGAGAAAUAGGACUUUGAUGAUAGUAGGAUAAUGAUAUUUUGGCAGCAAAUUUAGUCUUAAUACUUGUGUAAAUAUCUUCUAUGAUCACAUUUUUAUCCCAAAUACUGGGGUUCUUUCUAUAUUUUCAAUCUACAAAAAAAACAAAAAAACAAAACAAAAAAAAAACCCUGGGGAGGAAAUGCAGAAAUUUUGAAAAAGGGUCUCUGCAAUGAAGUGCAAAGACAGCAGAUUUUGUGAAUCAAUGCGGAGCUACAAACCCUGAAUAUGAAGACUAAGGUUGGCCAAGUUGCAUGACAGAGAUUGGAUUGUUUUUUGAAGACCAUUUCUGUUGAUGCUGUUCCCAAAGGAUUAAAUUUGACAAAUCAACCCUAAUUUGACCUUGAAAACGAAGGUGAAGUUUGAUUGCCAAAGAUCUCAUCCUUCCUAAGUUGCACCUAAAUACCAAACAUGAAGGAGAUCAGACCAGACAAUACCCCUGCGGCUGAGAAAUGAUUAACAAACAAGUGCAUUUUAUUUCAAAACUACAAAUUGUAACUAUCAAACAAUACACAUUUUCAGUACAUCCUGUUUCAGAAACCACUAUAUGAUAUCUUACAAUAGUCUUGUCCUAUAGUUUUAAUGUGAAUUUCAUACAUGGACCAUAUAUCUUGGCUAAAAUAUGGAAGGAAUUCAUUUACUUUGAGCAGCUUCAGAAUCAGUUCUUCAACAGAGGAAGCAAUGACAUGCACUUUAAAGUUGCACCAUCAGGUUUACAGCGGUCAGGUGGUGGUCCAUCAUGAAGACCCGCUACAUGUCAUUCUUCAUCCUUCUGCUCUUGUUUCCUUUCAUCCUGUUGCACAUAAAUAACUGUAAAAGUCUGGCUGCUGCUCAUUUAAGAAUGUCGUUUUACCUCCAUGGUUCUUCUUCCUAUGACAGUAGCAAGUAGAGAUGCUUUAAUGUCUUUUUUUUGCAGCAUAAAUCUGUUGAGUUUUGUGCUUGAAAGUUCUGUAUCCGAAACAAUAAAUGAAAACUGAAUAAGACUAACUCCUGGGCUGUUUUCAAUCCGUCACUGAGGGAACUGAAGGUCCAGCAACGUAAAGUCCUGAGUGAUGGGGAUGCUGUUCUCAUCGCACAGGAAGUAGCUCUGGAUAGUGAUGGUGAAGGUCUUCUUUGGGAUGGAGAGGAGGACCUGGAUCCGUUCUGCUGCCAGCUGGAUGUACUUAACUUCUGAUCCUGAAUCCAAGAGACAGACAGUGAAAAUACUGUUGGAAAAACUCUUUGAUUUUACAGUAAAGUUGCCUGAUGCUUAUCAAACGACAGACUGAUGAGGAGAUUCAACAGUUAGGAGCUGUUAAUACAUUGUCCAAAAAAGCUUCAGAUAAAUCCACCUAUGCAAGGUUUUACUUUAGACUGCCUUUAAGUUGUGGGCGUUCAUGCUUUUCACCAAUCUGGGGGAAUCAUAACUUUAAACCAGGAAGAGCUGACAUGGGAUUCAGAUGCUGGAAAGAAAAGGGAUUAUGUAAAAUAAAAGGUCUAUAUAGGAAGGGCUCUCUAAUGUCUUUUUUUUUUUUUUUAAAUUCAGGUUUUUAUUGAACUUUUCAAAGGUUUGGUACAUGGCAAACUCAAUAUGUUUCUCCAUACAAGAACAGGUAGUAUAUAAUUAACAAUGAACUCUGGUGACAGACUUGACAUACUCUUUAAUCUCAUAAACAUAAAAAAUCAAAAAUAAAAGACAGGCAGCAGAUACAAAAGCAGGUGGAUACAUAAUAAUAUCAACUAAUAAAUAUCUGUAUAGACACACACACACACCUGUACAUACACUCAUACAUUCAUACAUGCAGACCGAUCUACCUUCAUGUAAUCCCAAAACCUGUCCCAAAGGGUCACCCCCUCCCCUCUGUCAUCACUUCAUCUACUAAACAUAGAUUCCUAGGAUACAGUUUCAGUCAUUGCACAGACCCUCUAAAGUCUUUGAACAAUUAGUGGAUAAAUAUAAUUUGCCUAGGAAACAUUUAAAAAUAUAUAUAUUUACAAAUAAGGAAUCACAUAAUUAUACAAAUUAAAUGUACAUCAGAACCUCCUCUGUCCACUAUUGAAAGUAUUACAAAGAACCAUUACCAUAACAAAGGUCUUCUGUCAAAAAUGUUAUGAUGCGCUGUUGGCAGGUACUAAGGACAAUCCUCUUUCUCAGUUAUCAGCUCGGAAAAAUGAUCAUCAAACAGAAAUCUCUGUAGAGGAUUGGGAGAGGGCCUGUCUUAUAGCUCAAACACAAACAAUUAACACCAGCUUUAGACUAUUACAGUACAAACAGUUAUUUAGAACAUAUGUCACCCCUGUAAAACUACACCGUUUUAAUCCUAACAUUCCUGACAUUUGUACUAUGUGUAAAAAGGAAAAUAGGCACUUUUUUUCAUUGUAUGUGGACCUGCGAGAAACUUCAGAAUUUUUGGAAAGACUGCAUAUAAGAAGUGGAUGGAGGUACCAGGACCCCACUGGUCUGCAAAUAUUGUUUUGAAACUGUUUUGGUAUUAUUAUCG